rnacentral:rRNA from 1 species
AAAUGCGUAGUCGAUGGGAAAUUGGUUAAUAUUCCAAUACCUCUUUGGAGUGCGAUGGGGGGACGGAGAAGGCUAGGCCAGCAUAGCGAUGGUUGUCUAUGUUUAAGCCGGUAGGCGGAUGUCUUAGGAAAAUCCGGGACGUCAACGCCGAGACGUGAUGACGAAGGUUCUACGGAACCGAAGUGGUCGAUGCCAUGCUUCCAGGAAAAGCCUCUAAGCUUCAGAUUAUUUCGAAUCGUACCCCAAACCGACACAGGU